AGUGGCGGACGGGUGAGUAACGCGUAAGAAUCUAACUUCAGGACGGGGACAACAGUGGGAAACGACUGCUAAUACCCGAUGUGCCGCAAGGCGAAACCUAAUUGGCCUGGAGAAGAGCUUGCGUCUGAUUAGCUAGUUGGUGGGGUAAAGGCCUACCAAGGCGACGAUCAGUAGCUGGUCUGAGAGGAUGAGCAGCCACACUGGGACUGAGACACGGCCCAGACUCCUACGGGAGGCAGCAGUGGGGAAUUUUCCGCAAUGGGCGAAAGCCUGACGGAGCAACGCCGCGUGAGGGAGGAAGGUCUUUGGAUUGUAAACCUCUUUUCUCAAGGAAGAAGUUCUGACGGUACUUGAGGAAUCAGCCUCGGCUAACUCCGUGCCAGCAGCCGCGGUAAUACGGGGGAGGCAAGCGUUAUCCGGAAUUAUUGGGCGUAAAGCGUCCGCAGGUGGUCAGCCAAGUCUGCCGUCAAAUCAGGUUGCUUAACGACCUAAAGGCGGUGGAAACUGGCAGACUAGAGAGCAGUAGGGGUAGCAGGAAUUCCCAGUGUAGCGGUGAAAUGCGUAGAGAUUGGGAAGAACAUCGGUGGCGAAAGCGUGCUACUGGGCUGUAUCUGACACUCAGGGACGAAAGCUAGGGGAGCGAAAGGGAUUAGAUACCCCUGUAGUCCUAGCCGUAAACGAUGGAUACUAGGCGUGGCUU
rnacentral:rRNA from 1 species